GAGUUCUGGUACUGACGCAGUCAUUUUUAAGUUAAAUAUGAUAGAUUUUUUGAAUUACCUGUUCUGUCAUAGAUGAGCUCUUUCUCAUUAUAGCUGUUACUUGAAAGCUUUACAUGCUUCCCUUUACCCAGUUAUUUGGUGGAUUCAUGCUGGUCCCUGAUACUGUGUUGUUGACUCCUUUGCCCUGAUCUGUGAGUAGGUCAGACCCAAAACGCU
rnacentral:misc_RNA from 1 species